rnacentral:rRNA from 1 species
CCUACGGGAGGCAGCAGUGAGGAAUAUUGGUCAAUGGACGAGAGUCUGAACCAGCCAAGUAGCGUGAAGGAUGACUGCCCUAUGGGUUGUAAACUUCUUUUAUAUGGGAAUAAAAUGUUCCACGUGUGGGAUUUUGUAUGUACCAUAUGAAUAAGGAUCGGCUAACUCCGUGCCAGCAGCCGCGGUAAUACGGAGGAUCCGAGCGUUAUCCGGAUUUAUUGGAUUUAAAGGGAGCGUAGGUGGAUUGUUAAGUCAGUUGUGAAAGUUUGCGGCUCAACCGUAAAAUUGCAGUUGAAACUGGCAGUCGUGAGUACAGUAGAGGUAGGCGGAAUUCGUGGUGUAGCGGUGAAAUGCUUAGAUAUCACGAAGAACUCCGAUUGCGAAGGCAGCUCACUGGACUGCAACUGACACUGAGGCUCGAAAGUGUGGGUAUCAAACAGGAUUAGAUACCCCAGUAGUC